UUUCACUCACAACACAUCACACUUCAUCAUGCUCACACAUCCACAUCUACAUUACUGAUGUUACUGACUGACACACUCCACAUUGGUAGUUACUUCUGUAUAUCCUUAAUUUAUUUAUAAUAAAUAUCUUUAAUUUACAAUCAUUCACUGCGUCCUUUCCCGUAUUUGUCAUGUCCUAGGAGCCGGGCUAUGACAGAUUGAGGGCUCGUCCAGCUGUUUCCUGCCGCGACGUGUAGAUAAGAUCUGAAAAUUUGGUGCGCGUGUGCGUAAAGUUGGUUUGGAGCGCCCGCAGCACGGCGCGCUCUGCUCCUCUGUUUACCUGCUGUAGUACCGCAGGUAACCGGAUCGGCUUGUGAGUGCGCGAAUGUUGGUUUGAGGGAAAGGACAACGCAUUUGGACUUUACAGGGUAAGUUAAGAAAGAAAACGUAAACAGAAAACUGUUCUCCGCUUUUCAUUUUGAAAGAGCAACAAUGAGUCAUGAUCAUUGGUCGUUGACCAGAACUGUUACUUCAUCAUUCUCUCAGCCAAUCUGGCCGACCAGUCCUGAGACUAACCAGGCUCUCUCUCUCCAGAGGAGGUCUGAACCUGGUCCCCGCGGGCUCCAGGCCUGAGAAGGGCUGAUAGUCCUCAUGUAGCUCAGAGGAGAGCCGGUCCGAGCCUCUACUCCAGACUGACGCAUUGUCAGAAAGGAGCUGUCCUCUAGGCUGACCUUCAGUGACCUUCAGUCAGCCUAGAGGAGAGGUUCCGGCCGGAUCUGCUCCGAACAACCUAGCUUUUCAGCCAAUCCCUUACACGGGUUCCCCCUUUAGAAAAAGCU